GUUUWUUAAAAACMUGGSUUAUAGAAUUUAAUUUUAGGUUUAACCUGCUCAAUGAUUAAUAUUUUUAAAUAGCUGCGGUAUUUUGACUGUACAAAGGUAGCAUAAUCAUUUGUUUUUUAAUUGAAAGCUGGAAUGAAGGGUUGGAUGAAAAAUUUUCUGUCUCUAUUUAAAUUUAUUAAAAUUUUAUUUUUAAGUUAAAAAGCUUAAAUGUGUAUUGAAGACGAGAAGACCCUAUAGAGUUUAAUAAUUAAUAUAUAGAUUAAUUUUUAGAAAUUUUAAGGUUUAUUUAAAAAUUAUUUUGUUGGGGUGAUAGAAAAAUUUAAUUAACUUUUUUUUUUAUUAUAUAUCAUUAGUUUAUGGGUUUUUGAUCCUUUAUAAUUAAGAUUAAAAGAAUAAAUUACCUUAGGGAUAACAGCGUAAUUUUUUUUAGAGUUCUUAUUGAAUAAAAAGUUUGCGACCUCGAUGUUGGAUUAAAGAAAAUUAUUGGUGAAGAAGCUAAUUAAUUAAGUCUGUUCGACUUUUAAAACUUUACAUGAUCUGAGUUUAAACCGGUGUGAGCCAGGUCGGUUUCUAUC
rnacentral:rRNA from 1 species